UGUGUAUAGUUUGUUGUUCGUGAUGUUUGCGUUAGGUUCGAGGGGCGUAAUUAUUGCGUGUAGUCGUAUAUUAAUAACUAGGGAUUCCGUAUGAAAUUGUACAACGCCUCGCCGCUAGGUGUUUAAAUUCGCCAUCACGUAACACUAUUUAGGUUUGUAAUAUUUCCAUCGAUAUGCAUUCAUGUGCAUAAUGCAUUCCAUUCAGGUACGUUAAUUAAUCGCGCGAUGCAGAAGACGACCCAAGUCGACCCCAAGCACGGGCUACUCCACAGGAUGAUGCUGAUGGACAAACCUGAAGAUGAUCGUCAAGCGGACGUUGUCUAACCAACACUAACAUAGUGUUUAUUCCAGGCAAGCCCCGGUGCAUGCAACCCCUUUCCUUGUGUUUUUAAAUACUUUUCGCACACUUAAGUCUAGUGAAAUGUGCAUUAGGUUCAUAGGAAUUGCUUGAAACCCUUUGAUGCAUUGCUUUCCUUGAUAUCCAUACCUUUAUAGAUACUUCUGUGAAGUAUCAAAAUAUGAUUUACAAAAAUGCUUAGCCUUGCUUAGAUCUUGUGGAUAGAGGUUGUCCUUAAUUUAACUCGAGAAAGGAUGGCUUCUACCUGCAAGAAUAUUUUCAUUUGGAGCAAUAGUGGGAUCUUACUGCAAAGUUCCCUGUGAUGCUCUUUCAUCCUAAGGAACAGACACAAUCCUAAGGAUGGAAAUACUUAAAUCGAGACUUGGGCUAGGAACAGGUGAUGCUCCGCCCGGGUCAAUUAAGGAUUGGAUGCGUAUGUAGGCCUGUUGAUCAAGGACUAUCUUAUCUAGCCACAUGCCCUGAGAAUGGGACAGGGUAAGCUUGAACCCGGCUAUUCCAUACAUGAAAAGACAAUCGCGCACUGGGCGUGGAGAGAUGGCGAGAGUGGCACGUACCCUCCUGGCAACGGAUCGCCUAAAAGGGGUGGUGUACUCUCGGGUGGCGCGGACCUGUUCAUGCAGUGGAGGAUCCGUGGGAAUAGUAGACAUCAAGGUUUACGAGAAACAUGUGUCGUGUGGUUAGAAAUCCUCAGCUGAGUAAAUCGAUUCGGAUCGCCGUUAUAUCCCCGGAGAGUGGAGACUUGAGCUCCGACCUACAACCUAAGUCAAGAUGUGAACACUAUGGAUAAAAAUGAUGUUGUAUUGAUGAGAUGAUGAAAUUAGACUAGAUGCAAACAGAGUCUAUUAAAUAUUUAAUCUGUCGUUAAAAUAUUGAAAGUAAGGACUCACUUUAGUAAGCUAUUUCUGCAAAAGUAUCUAAGUUGAUUCUUGCUAAAGCCUCUCCUUGAUUCCCAAAUCCAGCAUAUCCUUGAGAGUCUUUUCUUUAGUCGGGUAAGUCUUGCUGAGUAAUUCCAUACUCAGGGUUUUAUUCCCUGUUGUUUUUCAGGUUAUAGUUUUGUGCUGCUGUUGAUGGUGUUAAGUGCCGGUGGGCUCGGCCUUCUUAUAUAAGUAUACCCAGUCUUUAUCUUCUUACUGAGGAUGGUCAUUUGAGCUAGCAUAUAUUUCAAACUUAUACUUUUGUAAUCACUCCGA
rnacentral:lncRNA from 1 species